UCUGCGCAGGGGACCGGCCUAGGGCGCGCGGUGAAUACGGCUCCGCGGCCGAGCGGGGAGGAGAGUGCGAUGGUGCCCCCCCCUGCCUGUGCUGCUGUGGAGCCUGCCCGACACCCCCUUCGCUGCGAGGCUCCCUGGAGGGAGGGGGUUGCCAGGCUGGGCCCCCAGCCCCGAACGCCCCGGCGUACACGCAACUGCACAGCCCCUGCAGCUGCAGAGCCCUCCUCCUUCUCGACAUCCCCCCAGAGGCUGGGAAAGAAACUUCCCUGAAAGUUACCACAGGCAGCAGGACUGUGUCUGCUCUUCCCUGAGCCCGACAACAUGGCUGCCUCGCCAGCUGCGCCUUCCCUCCCACAGCCGCAGCAGGGGCUGGAGCCCGGCAAGGGGCAAGGGCCCCGCUGCGGCCUGUGCGAGCCGUGGGGGUGCAGGGCCGCGCAGCGCGGGGAAGCCUGGGCCCGUCAUUUCUAGACCGGGCUCGGCUGCCCCGGGCUCCCAGGGGGCUUCUGCUCCAGAGCUCCGGGACAACGCAGCAGGGCUCCCCUGUGGGGUGAAAUGCUGACAGCCUGGCUGUGCCACACGGCUCUCCUAUUUAAUAUUAUUUAUGGCAACAGAGCCCCCGUUAAUGGCCUUUGCACAUGGUACUUAACGGGAUGUAGGAACCGCAAUGCCAGUUGUGGCAACCGAAUAAUGUCAUCUUGUUCUACCUGUUGGAAAGCAUCACCGGGCAUUGCUGUGUUAUGCAGUAUAGCCUCUCCCCCAGGUAUACUGCAUGUUUUUCAGGCUUGGCACCAGUCAUGUUAGGAAGCUGGGAAGAAGGUGGUUCUAGUGUUGUUUGUUUGUUUUUAAAUUGCAUGUUAAAUAGGCUUUCUGGAUGUGAAAAAAUUGCGUGUUAGGUUAAUAUGCACACUUGGAGUGGUGUUAGGUCCUUACAAGAAAAGUGGUUGUUUGCUUUAAGAAAUAUAAAAUGUUUCUUAAAUGCUGUAGUAUGCGGUGUCAUCACUUAUCAGAUAUUCUGUCCGGUUUUUGUUUAAGAAAUAGUUUGAGCAAGGUCAGAACUCGGGUCUCCUUGCCAGGCGAAUGGCCUAACCGCUAGCUUAUAGAGUCAUGCUGCCUCCUAUGUACUGUCCUGCUUUCAAGCCCUAUAAAUCUUUUAAUAGUUUUUGCACAGUUACAGAGCUUCAACAGGUUGGAAUAGUCUCUACUCUUGUGAUUAGGGCAAAGAUUGUGGGCAAUCGAAGAUGAGGGUUUGAAUCCCGUCAGGCAGAGAAGGGACUUGAACUAAAAGAGAGUGGCCUGUGUCAGCUACAGCUAUGUUUUGCAAGGAUCCAGUCCUGUUGGUAUAUGUUAACCAUGAUUUUAGAUUGCCUACUAGACAGGCAGAGGAAUACCUUGUUUUUGGCUUCUGCAGGGGCUUGGGUAUAAGCAGUCAAGAUUGAGGCAGUUUUAGGCUCAUGCUGAGGCAUAACUAGGUGUGGAUUUUAAAUGUAAAAAAGUAAGGUGUCCCUGAAGGUUGGGUGCAUCCAGGAUUAGGUGGCAACUGAGCAAUGGUUUUUUGGAUUGCAAUUUUAGACCUAUGCACCUAUAUUUUCCCUAAACCUAAGUCCUUUAUUAGAUCUGGCCCUGAAUGUUUAAGGAUGUUUAAAGUCCUGGGGUCACAUAUAUAGGCCAGUACUGUGAUUAAAUAGGAUUUACUGUUGGUUCCAUCAUCAUUCAGUUCAGGAAUUAUGCACCCUUUCUGUACCUUGUAUCUUUCCUUCAAUAGUAGACACACAUAAUUAGGACCUGAGGAUCAAUGGAGAAUCCUUGUCAAUCAUGAACACUGCAACAGAGGCCUAAAAUAUAUGAGGUCCUCUGAAUAUCAGAAUCAACACUGAAACCACCUUGUACACAUAAUAAUAUCAAACUGAGACCUGAGGCCCUGUGAAUGUUGUGGAAUGGACAAAAUACUGUAGCUGGUGGGAGAACUGCUACCCUUCACUUAAAUAGGUAAAAAGCAGUUAAUGUUCUUCUGUGAAACAACAGUAGCCUCCAAGUCAAGUCACAUGUCACCACCCAAGGAAUAGGAAAGGCCACUCAGGAAUUUGACGUUUGAGAGUAAAGAGCAAUUGCUGAUUGUUAUUUUUUGGUACUGAUGUGGGUGAGGAAAGAGAGUCAGGAGAACUGCAGAAACAUACAUAGGAAAAAAUUAAGGGAGCGCCUGAUGUAGGAGCAUGCACUUGGGAGUAAAAGUCUAAACAAAAGAGAGUUUUGGGUAUAGUGCAAUCUGAAAAUGGCUUUGAAAUUAAACCAAAAAGGUACCUUUUGGUCACAGAAUCAUAGUCGCGUACAGCCAGGAGGGGACUUCAAGAGAUCAGCCAAUCCAUUCCCUGCUCUGAGGUAGAAUUGGUUGUUCUUGUAAACCUCCAACAAAGGAGAUUCCAAAACCUUACCAGGUAGCCUGUUUCUGUUUGAAAGCUUUUUCUAAUAUCUAACUUUUCUUUGAUGCAAAUUAAACCAGUAUCUCCUUGUCCUUCCUCCAGUGGACAUGGGGAGCAAUUAAUCACUGUCCUCUUUAUAACUUUUUUUUACUUACAGGAAGACUCUUAUUGUUUCCUCCCCUUUUAUUCUCUUUUCUACAUUAAACAAAACUAGUGCCUUCACUCUUUUUUUUUUCCAUAGAUCGUAUUUUUUUUUUUAAUCUUCUUGUUCACCUCUAGAUUCUUUCCAAGUUCUUUCUAUAUUUUUCGUCUGGUGCCCAAACCAGAUACAAUGCUGAAGAUUCACCAGCAUCAAACAAACCAGAAUAAUUACCUUACACAUCUUGUAUAUCAUGCCUGUUUGUACAUCCAAGAAUGCAAUUUCCCUGCUUUCUGCAACAUCAUCACGUUGUUGAUUCAUCCUCAGUGUGGCCCCACUCUAAGCCCUAGAUCCUUUUCUGCAAUACUGCAGCACCAGUGGUUCUUAACUUUUUCAGACUUGAGGCACCCCCUGAUAGAGUCAAGGCGUUCCUCCUUAGACUCAAGUCACCCCUAGGAAAAUGCCAGCUCUUAGUUUUCGCUUGUUUUUUUUUACUACAGAUAGAAAUUAGAGCAAUUUCUUCUGAUGCAAAGAACUCAGAAAGACCACAGCAGAUCAGAAUAUUUUAACAUUGUGGAUUCCUUGAAAUCUUUGUGUCUUGUGAAUCAUGUUUGCACACCUAACACUAUGUGGCACCCUGCAGUGCCCCUGGAAGGAUCUCAGCAUCCUGGUUGAGAAUCGGUGGACCUAGACAGUUUUUCCUAUGUUCUUUUCCAUUCCAUUUAACUGUUCUUAUAAUCUUAUCAUGAUUUAGGUGCUUAUAAAUUGGUAGUUUAAUAAUUUGUUCUAGUAUCUUUCUGGCUCUUGAAGUCAGACUAACUUGUCUAUAGUUCUCUGGGUCUUCCAAUUUUCUUUUUUCAAUAAAGGUGUUAUGUUUGGCUUUCUCCAGGCCUCUGGGAUAUCUUGCCUCCUCUAUGAGUUCUUGAAGAUAACUGAUAAUAUUUCAGAGAUUACUUUGACUGGUUCCGUUCUAGAAGAGCUCAUGGUGCAGCCAUACUUGUCUCCUAUGCUUUAAAUCUUUUCCACAUUGGGAUAAUUUGCUAUUGUGGCUUUCAUAUAAUCUCUUUAAGUAACUGCCUGUUAUACAUUUGUUCAUUCCAUAUCUUAUCUUCUUAACUAGUUGCCAGAGCUGAAGCCCAUCAUUCUUUUUCUGAUGCUCUGAAUUAUUCCUUUUUUUGAAAUGAACUCAUUUUUGAUCACAUUUGUCCAAAUUACCUUCCAUCAAAUUAUUUUCAACAAGUUCAUCUCUCUUGGAGGCAGUUACAUCUAAAAUUGCUGCUCCCCCAGUAACUUUCUUUACCUUCUGAAACAAUGUUUUUUUUUUAAAGAGUUGGAUCAAUAGUCUAUCAUACAGUAUUGCUUUUCCAACUGAUAUUCAAGUAAUUAAAGUCCCCCAUUACCAAAGGUCCUGUCCUUUGGAGGCUUCUGUUAGUUGCUCCAAAAAGUCUCCUGCUCCUCCUGGUUACUGUUUGAUUCUUCCUUUGUUCAGAGAAAGAGGACUUUGUAAAUAAAAGGACCGCAUAAAAGGGGCAGUGGGUUUCAUCACCACUUUCUCCUAGCUGGAACAACCUGCAAGAUCAUUUUUUGGCUAACUACUUGAAUCAAAAGGAAGUACAAUAUCUUCAUGUAGCUGACUCUUUAAAUUAUAUAUUAAAGUGUAAUACCACAACUAAAUUUUA